rnacentral:rRNA from 1 species
UACGGAGGGGGCAAGCGUUAUCCGGAUUUACUGGGCGUAAAGGGUGUGCAGGUGGACGGUUAAGUGGUGUAUGAAAUGUCCCAGCUCAACUGGGAGAGGUUAUGCCAGACUGGUCGUCUAGGGUAUGGGAGAGGGAUGUGGAAUUCCGGGUGUAGUGGUGAAAUUCGUAGAUAUUGGGAAGAACACCGAUGGCGAAGGCAGCCAUCUGGACCGACACUGACGCUGAGGCGCGAAAGCCAGGGGAGCGAACGGG